AACACUGAACUUAAAUUUCGGAUAUAACCCUGAACAAUUGUCAUCAAUCACAUGACAUGCUGCUCACCACUAGAGGAAGACCCCUAUUGAAUUUGGCUUUGAUUCCUCUAAGUUCUUUAUGCCAAGACGAAGACUUCUAUCCAUUUUGGUGUUGAUACUCCAAAGGUCAAGGUCACAUCUUUACCCGUGUUUCUGGCGGCUGGUGGAGCGAUUAAAGAAAAGCCAUGCUAAUGUUGCAAUGAUAUGUAUG